rnacentral:rRNA from 1 species
CAGCCGCCGCGGUAAAACGAGGGGGGCAAGCGUUGUUCGGAAUUAUUGGGCGUAAAGGGUGCGUAGGCGGCUUGGCAAGUCUUGUGUGAAAUCUUCGGGCUCAACCCGAAGCCUGCACGAGAAACUACCGGGCUUGAGUAUUGGAGAGGUGAGUGGAAUUUCCGGUGUAGCGGUGAAAUGCGUAGAUAUCGGAAGGAACACCUGUGGCGAAAGCGGCUCACUGGACAAUAACUGACGCUGAUGCACGAAAGCUAGGGGAGCAAACAGGAUUAGAUACCCGUGUAGUCCCUGUCUCUUAUAA